rnacentral:rRNA from 1 species
UACGUAGGUGGCAAGCGUUGUCCGGAAUUAUUGGGCGUAAAGGAUGCGUAGGCGGUCUUUUAAGUGGGAUGUGAAAUCCCUGGGCUUAACCCAGGAACUGCAUUCCAAACUGGAAAGCUAGAGUGCGGGAGAGGAAAUUGGUAUUCCCAGUGUAGCGGUGAAAUGCGUAGAGAUUGGGAGGAACACCAGUAGCGAAGGCGAAUUUCUGGAACGUAACUGACGCUGAGACGCGAAAGCGUGGGGAGCAAAC